ensembl:lncRNA
CGGCGGGCAGCGGCGCUGCGGCAGGGUCCCGGCGGCCGUGCCCUACGAAGGGCCUGGGCCGGGCGCGCUGGGAAGCGGCGGGGCUGGAGCAGGCGGAGGGUGAGUGACGGCGGGGCGACGCUCAGCGCCGUCUUCAGUGGGAAGCGAAUCAGCCGUAGGUGGGAAAUUAGGGUCACAUCUCCGAUCUCCCGAGGUGAGCCAGAGCGCGGGGCUGGCGGCAGCACUUUGGGAGACUGAGGAAAAGCCUCCUGCGGUGGGAGGGAGGGCGAUACGCACUUAAGUCACAUCGCGGGGCUGUCACGAGGCCGCGGCAGGUCCCCGCGGUGAAGGCAUCAUCCGAGCUGUCGCUGUGUCGGGCCGAUGCCUCCGCGCAGCCUGACAGCCGUGUUGACGCUGCGCUUCAGCCUUAUUGUAGAGCAAAGCCUUUCGACGCGGGAUUUGGUCCCUAGCGCCGGUUUGCUGGUAUUGCUGACAUCCCAGCAAAACAUGUGCAGGAUGCUCACAGCACUGCGUUAUGGCAAGGGUUCAGCCGGCUCGAUGCUUGAAGCUGCUAGAUGCUGCCUCAGCGUUCCGUUAGGACUGUGAGAAGUCAGGUCACUCUGCUGAUGCAGGGAGCUGAAAUACAGCAUCGAACUUAAAACGUGGAUUCUAUCGUAUACAUGGGAUUGCUCAAGCCAAGGUACGGUGGAGGGGGGACGUGGCCGAGGUCCUCUGAGGCACAUGGAAGAGCCCUCAGGUGAAUUGUGCUGUGGAAGUGCAGCAGAACCACAGGAGCACCAGCCGAACGCUUGUGAGUCCCUGCUGAUUUGUUUGCAAUAAACGUGACUGCUCUGAAGCUGUCUGGCACCAUCACGUUAUCUUCCUCAAUGCCAUAACUGAUGAGGUCCUCAUUUUUAAGGCAGAACGAUGCAACUUUCGAUAUAUUCAACGCCAGCCCCCUGCCCCCAGGCUGUCUUUGCAGUCAACAGGCAUGUAAAAUAUUCAGAGUAAAAAAAGAAAUCAUCAUGUGUGACUAGAAAGUGCUGAAGCACAGCGUGCGGCACUGCCGGCUCAUGCAACAGCUCCGUGUGCACAGCCACGCUCACAGGGCUCAGCCUCCCCCUGUUCCUGGAUUCUGAUGAGAACCCAAAGAGAAGGAGGCAAACAGAUCACGCUCCAUGCACCUACACACAAGAAGAAAAUGCUACUCAGCUUGCAUGGAAACACUACAGAGCGCUUCUCUGCAUGUUUUUCAGGCAGUAAAUCUGUGAGCAACUUUUUGAAGCCUGAACAUAACUCAAUCAUGUGAAAAUCAGGUACUUUUCUAUUAAAGUAGCCAGCAAUGUAAGUAUGCCAUAUACCCCCACAUUUCUUGCAAGUGCUUUCCUUAGGGACACUAUUUGAUAUUUUUUUGUAUAUAUUUCACUGAUAUAUGCAAUGAAGAGCUGGACCACUUCAGUUUUCUUAAUCAAGCAAUCAAGCUGUGGUCAAUAAAAUACAUUCCUGAAGAGCAACAAUUAGCACAUAGUUUAAGAAGGCUAAUGGGGACCCAUCCGUAGCAGCCAGGGACUAGCAACCUAGUCAGCAACUGAAGAAUGCCCACUGGGAGGCCAGCAGUGACAGCAGCCAGGUGAGCCUAAGGAGCAGAUGGAAUCAGCACAAUGAGUCUUCCUGAAAUGCUAGUUUUAGCGUUUGUGAAUGAAACUUACCAGAUCUCCUAGUACAAAGUAGUGCUCGUGUAAAGCCUAUCUUUUUACGCUGUUUCCAGCAGAGAGCUGUGAGUAUUGAACUAGCCAUACAUACUUCUUAGUGCAGUCUCAACUUCUGUGGAGUCAUUUUUGCUCUCCCGGAUGAGGAUUGGCCUUCUGCACAUCAGCCUGGAAGUACUCUCUCAUUUCAAGGGCUGCUGCCUCUGACAGCCCCAUCUGGCCUAGGACCGCGCUCCAAAAUAAUGAUGCUGUACUAACAGACAGGUUUCUCUGCUUUGCCUUAAACUGCUGACCCAUUCCCACCGUGCCCACUAAGCCAUAUCCGUUAGUACCACAUCUAAAUGUUUUUUGAACACCUCCAGGGACACUACCACUUCCCUGGGCAGCCCAUGCCAAUGCCUCACCACUCUUUCUGAGAAGAAAUGUUUCCUAAUAUCCAACCUGAACCUCCUGUUACAGUUUCAUCUGAGGAAGCUCUCUGGUAUCCCAGAUAUCUAUACAGACACUGUGCUUAGCCACCUGAUCCACAAAACUGAGGACUGCUUAACACCUGUGAAAUUUCACAGCAUGACAGCAGAGCUGAGGCUGGAAGGCACAUCUGGAGCUCCACUGGUCCAGCCCCCUGUUCAGAGCAUGGGCAGUGGAGAGCACAUUGCCCAGGGCUGUGUCCACAUGGGCUUGGGGUUUCAUCAAGGUUGGAGACUCCACAGCCUUAUGGGGCAACCUGUUCCAAUGUUCAGCCACCCGCAUGGGGAAAAAUGCUUUUCGUAUGUUGAAUGAAAUGUUCUGUGUUUCUGUUUGUGCCUAUUGAAUAGCACCGAGAAAAGUCCAGCUUCAUCUUCUUCACCCCUCCUAUCAGACUUUCAUACACUUCAGUAAAGCGUCCUGUGCCCUCCUCAAGCCUCCCCUUCUCAAGGUUAAGCAGCCCUAGCUCAGUCUUCCCACUCCUUACCUCCGUGGCUGAACACAUGCCUCCUCCCUGGCUUGCUGCUUGGAAAAAACACUUCAUAUACAUACAGAUAAUAGGAAGAGCAAAGCCAAGAAAACUCAUGGGUAAAGACAAAGGCAGUUUAGUAAGUGAAGGAAAAAAAAAACGAUGGAAGGCAAUCACUCACCACAUCCCAAGUCCCACUGACAGCCUGAUGCCCAGGCAGCCUCUCAGUGACAGCAAUCUCAGAAGCCAGCCCCUGUCCUCACGCCCCAGGCUUUAUUGCUGAGCAUGACGUUAGAAGGUAUGGGACAUACCUUUGGUCUGUCUGGGUCAGCUGUCCUGGCUGCAUUCCCUCCCAGCUCCUUGCCUACUCAGCCUGCUUGCUGAGGUAGGAGUGGGGCAGAGAGCACUGCUGAGCUGCAGCCAAAACAGUGGUGUGUUAUCAGCACUGCCCUAUCCAUAGCCCCACAGAGGCUGCUAUGAAGGACAUUAACUCCAUCCCAGCCAGCCUCAGUGCACCUGCAGGAUAACAUCCUUGGAGUAAGAGAUUUCCCCCUUUGAAGUUCCCCUGCUAUGGUUAUGGCAACCAGUCUCAGCAGUGCCACUGUGUGCUAUCUGCUUCCCCAGCACCUUCUUAGUGUCUAAAAGAAGAGAAAGUAGCACAUUAAACCAUGAAAAAGAAAAUGGAGGAAAAAAACCAGAAGCUGACAAAAGUUGGUAUAUAACUAAAGAGUUAAAUGUAAGAACCUAGACAAAAAGACAAAAAUAUGUACUUCACUGAAAGUAAGAAUGUUAACUUAGAGACAAUGACAUUGCAAAUACUAUUAGUAUGUUGCUACUGGAUGUAAAAAAAAAAAAUAGAAUUGCCUAAAAGAAUGUACGGAAGCAGAAUUAUUCAAUCAAUAUUUCUAUUGUAUAUUUAGUAAACAGAAGCUGUGCUUUCAUAUUAUAUUACAUUGAAAUACUUUCCUUUCAAUCAAUAAUGUAAAAGGACAAUAAAGAUCAGCAGAAUAUACUAAACAGUUAUUUUUUAAACGGAAGGUCAAGGAGUUUUUAGAAAAAUAAAUGAAAGUGGAGUUAGGCAGCAAUGUUAAUAAUUCAAAUCAGUUCCUAACAAUUUCUGAAACGCUAAGGAAAUUUCAGAGAAAUAGAAGAAAGUUAAUACUGUAACAAUAUUUGAAGGGUAAAUAGGAUGACCUACUUAAUUACAGGCUCAUCGAGCUGACAGCAAGCAUGGGCAAAAUUGUGGGAAAGGCAGGUUCAGGACUCAAUUACAGAAAGGAAUGACAGGGAGAAGAACCGGAAUUGCCAAAUGCCAGGCAGUGGGGCAGGCUGUGCAGCCGUGCAGUCCCUGCCUGCACCGCGUGAGUCAGAAUACUUCCCAGAUUUUGGCCUAACCAGUGCCUCUAUUUUUGCACUAACAGCCGCCAAUAAAAUGAGCUGGCAGAAAAUACACUUUGAAAAACUGUUCUGAUGUCACUUCAGAGAUGCCACAUUUUAUUUUAAGUACCUACGUAGAAAUACACUUGAAAUCUUAUGCUAUCGGAUCCCCAUUGACAUUCCAAUGAAAGAGCUAGAUUGACACAAAAUCAACACUAUACGCAAUGCACAGGUGUACCAAUAGGCUUUCAUUCAUGCUACAUAUUUAUGAGUCUAUUCAAUCUUUUAAUCAGUGAAACAAGAGAGAGAUUGCAAAACACCAAAGAUGAGGGAAACUAAAACUAAUGGCAGAGAGACACCUUUUGAUGGUAAAACUCUCGGCUCUUCCAUUUGUUGGGUACCAUCUAAAAUAUUUCAAAACAAAUGUAAUUGAGAAUAGGAACAAAUUAUACAUGCUGUUUUUAUGAGACAAGAAAAGGGAAAAAAAAAUAGAUAUGGAUUUUAACAAAUAUAAAUGAUGCUCUGGCUAAAAAAGGUAGGGCACUUUUGGAAUGUGAGAGACUAAUAUGUAGUUUUUGAUCCUUGCCAAGACCCUUUUACUUUACAAAGAUGAAGUUAAGGAAUGAUUUCAUCAUUGUUGAUAGAUUAAGUCAUAAAAACAAAAUGUGAGUAGUAUGUGAUACAUAGAUAUAAUUUUGCAAUACUGAUGGAACUUGGACAAGAAGAUGUAGAAGUGUGUGACCUUUUACAUGUGGUGAAGCAGAACUCCAGUCCUGCCGUCACGUGAUAGAAGACUUAACAAGGGUAAAGCAGAAGCUGUACUGGAAGUUUUGAAGGUGAUAGUCAGAUAACGAACAAAACUUACCAUUAGCUAAAGUACUUCUGUUCAUCCAGACCAAAUUUACUCUUAGUAAGCAGAAUUCUACUUUAAAUAAUCAUACUGAUUUAAAAUAGAUAAGCAACACAUACCUAGCCUAGAUAAAAUCACUGAAGAAGUAGCUAGUGAGGUGAACUUACAUCACUAAUUAAAUACCGUUUGCAUCCACUGGCCAUACAGAUGCUUUCAGCAAGGUGUGACUUCUGUACUAAGCAAAGAAAAGAAUCAUCAGUGUUCAGCUAUGUUAAUAGUUACAUAUACAGAGUUAGAGAAAACCAAAAUAAGGAAAAAGCUCAAUCUGAGUUCAGACUUCCAUGAAUACUGCUUAACCACAAUGUACAAGCCUAUUGUAAUGGUAGAAGAAGGUGUCAGAAAGGUAGGAUUCAAGGAGGAAAAGUUCAGAAAGACAGGAACUUGUAACAGAGAGGAAGUUAUCUAAUACAAUACAAGAAGCCUGAGCACUGAUCUGAGGUGAGGGAACAAAAACACAGCUGGAGCAGAGAACACCAAUGAAGCACUGGCUAUUGUGGCUGGGAGUUCUGACAGAGCUUCUAGCAAACCUGACACUGCAGCAAUAUGACACAGAGGCAGCUAUAUCCCAACCAAGCAGAUAGAUACAGGUGUUUCAGGACCAUAGGAUCAUAGAGUAUCGUGAGUUGGAAGGAACUCAACAAGGAUCAUUGAAUCCAACACCCAGCUCCACACAGAAACACCCAAAAUUCAAACCUUAUGCAUGAGGCCAUUGUCCAAAAACUUCUUGACUUCUGGCAGCUUGAGGCCACGACCACUGACCUGGGAGCCUGUUCCAGGGCCCAACUACCCCCUCAGCAAAUAAUCUUUUCCUAAUUCCCACCCUGCCCCUCCCCUGACACAGCUCCAUUCCGUUCCCUCGGGCCCUGUCGCUGUCACGCAGAGCAGAGCACAGCACUGCCCCUCCACACCCUGUGAGGAGCUGCAGCCGCCAUGAGGGCUCCCCUCAGCUCCUCUGCUCUGGGCUUAGCAAACCCAGGGACCUCAGCACUCCUCGUAUGCCUUGCCCUCUAAACCCUUCACCAUCUUUGUAGCCCUCCUUUUGACUUCUCCAGGCAGUGAAUCAAACCCUAGGAAUACUGAGUUCUGUUUGCUAAUGACUUCUGUGAUUGUCCAAAUGGCAUCACUUAGUGAGUCAUAAUAAUUUCACAGAAAAUAAUCAAAUACACCAACAUUAAACAUGAGAUAGCUAAUCAUAGUCUGAAGAUAGUUAAUAAGUGAAUCACAUAUACCCUGCUAUGCCUAGAGAGGGUUUUCUUUGGUGACAGAUCUUCAGCUCUGAAUAAGCAAUGAGAAGGCCAAGCUUUGUGACCCUUCUUUAAAAGUUAUUCUCAUCGUAUAUAGGGAUAUGCAGUAUCUCUUAUGCAAAUAGAUUCUUUUUCAAAAGCCAAAGAGUAUCCUGUGACAAAUGGUUGCUAUUUUGAGCUCACACUAAUGCACUGUGAAAAAAACAUAGUUAUCCCAAAAAAAAAACUUACAAUGAGAAAUGUAAUAAUUUAUUUAACAGUUGGAAACCCAUUGAAAAUGAACAGACACUUGAGUGAGUGCCCAAGAGAACAAGAAAGAAUGGACAGCACAGUCAAAAUGUCUUUUGUUUGUUUAGUGAAUAUCCUUUCAUCUAUAAGACCAGCAAUGAGUGCACUCUAGAAUCCUUUGGAGCUAAAGUGAACUACUGGAGACCUUCCAUUUAUGCUGCAACGCAGCCUACACCUGGUUUGAAUGUCUACAGAAGGGUUUUUUCUGCUUCAGUACUAACAGAGCAGGUUUCAGUGCUAGAAGUGAACUAUGCUACUCUCCAGGUUUCAUUGCAUGUCUUUCUCCUGUCCUUCCUCUGCAUUUCUAUCUACUUAGCACAGAAUAAGGAUCUAUGGUGCAAAUUUUUUCUCACGUUUCUCAGAAUGCUUUCUACAAACAAGUGGCAAUAAGAUCCCUAAUUGGCUUCAUGGAGUCCUUUUGGGAUAAAACCUCCUCUUAAUGGACAUUUUCACACUAAUUUUUUUUCAUAAUAAUUUAGAGAUAGAAACAGGGUGUCACUUGUGAGUGAGCUGGGAGAAAGACCUGUCUGAAUUAGUUCCUCUCCCACAGUGGGGCCCCAUGGGUUGGAAGCAUCUUUUGUCCCAGGUCCUCCUGUUCUUUCACCUCAGUUUUGAAAUACCUCGGAGUCAUAGCUGUUAUCACGAUGCCAACAUCAAAAAGUAGAUUUAUCUAACAGCUAUUUGAACCUUUUCUUAAUUCCUAAAGAAAACUGCAUAAACUAUAAAACAGCAAAGAGAAGCAUACUAAGAGCUAGCAAAAGGCAAUGUGAGAUUAGAUCUUAUAUGUCCACAGCUAUAUAAGCCGUGAAGAAUCAGACAGAAACAUGACACGUCAGGAACAAUAGAUAAAGUGGCAGAGAAAAUAUACAGCAAAAGACUGAAAUUUUCAAAUAUUUAUACCCCCCAGCUACAAGGUGAACAGGCUAAGCAGGGUACAGAUACUGCUGGACUCUCUUAAGAGAGGAAGUGACUUAAGAACAUUGUGUCUUCAACACAGAGUGCAAACAAUGCCUUGGCCAGAGUUGUUUUUGCUUCAUUUGAUAUCAGUCUGUACUAACUGUACCUCAUCAUGAGAGGAAACAGCAUCUCUAUAGCAGUGGAAAACAAGAUAAGUACUUGCACAUAAUCAGCAUAGUGCUGGUGUGUCAGUAUUUCAGUGUCUCAGUGCACUCAUCUCACACAAGUAGUAGAAGGAAACAGAAAUAAAUACAGACAGAAUGAUGCCCAGUAUCUCUCUUUUGAGUUCACUGGGAAAAUGAUGGGAUCCACACUACCACUGCACCAGGGUAUCGUCAUAGAUCAUAUGCUACAAAGAGAUCUCUACUAUUUCUCUACUAGUAAAGUCUUGUCUGUACUGAAUUCGUUGAUAGGUUUCUUAUUGAUUUCAGUAGAAUCAUGAUGUCCUCCACAUAACAGUUGAAAAAAUAAAAGUAUUUUCUCAUUUUUGCGCCAUGCAUUUUUACCUAAUCGCUGUUACUAUUUUUGAAUGUUCCUAAAGGCAGGAAUAUUUGAGUGAAAAAAUCUCACAGACAAUACCUACUUUCCAGAUUACUCCAAACUACAUAGCUGCUCAUUAGUUCAUGCAAAUUUUGAAUACUGCUCUAUGCUGAGAAAUGACUACUGACCAGACAAGCCACCCCCUUGCAGGAGGGAAGGAAAAAAACAAGAACCAUCAAGAUCAUCAGUGAUACCAUUUAAUGCACUUCUGGAAUGCGUUCAGAUAACACACCACGAAGGCAGAACACAGUGUGGCCAGGAGCAUGACUGGGCCACAAAUAAUUCGGUACAAUGAUCUUGCAGUGAUAUUAACAUUCUAGUUAGUCACUGCUAUUAGGGUAAACAUACUAAAAAAUGAACCACAUAAAGAAUUUCAUAACCUCAAAAUUCCAGAGACCAUGAGACACUUCGGUGUUCAUACUGCCCAUUAUGCUCUGAAUGUACAGAGAGUGUAGAAUAUGGGCUAGAUAGAAAAGGACAAAGAUACCAGCAAACAAUAUUCAGAAUCAACUCUUUAAUAAUUUAACUGUAUACUUCAGAGAGCAGAACGAUGUAAGCAACAUGGGAAUUCCCACCAACUGUGCUUUGUUUAGUUUAUUUCACUAAGCAUUUGUUUUUUUGUUGUCAAAGCAUAUAAAAACAUUAAAAGAAUCAGUUGUCUACAACUUUUAGGAUAGCAUCCAUGACAGUGGGCAGGAACCUCCCAGUACCUCAUCUUUCUUAUCGACUAUAUUGUAAUUCGGCUGAAGCAGUUGUGUAUCUGCCACAUUCCAGGUCACCUAUAGACAAGACCUACUGCGUCAACUGAUUGAGCAGCCAGGAAGAAAAGCCCUUUCCAUUAUGAAUGUUAUGACACAAGAGUUAGAUGGUUUAUUUCCUCAUUUAUCAGAAAUAGAAUCAAAUAUAAGAGCAUAAAGAAAUGAAGAGAUGCAUUCACAGUGCUAUAAAAACUUACUGAAAUACAUAAAUCUGGCUGUAGAAGGGGCAUUAUUUCUCUGGUAGCUACCCAUGUGUAUAUGGGAAUGGAGACUACUGGAAACAAGCAGAGUUGAAUAAAUGAUUUUUUCACAUAGCUCUGAAGUUUGUAUUCAUUCUUAUUCAGUAUAGAAGAAAGUUCAUCUCGAUGAUGGAAUCAUUCUCUAAU